GACGAACGCUGGCGGCGUGCCUAAUACAUGCAAGUCGAACGCAGUGGGGACGGGUGAGUAACACGUGGCUAACCUCCCAUCAGAGGGGAUAACACUUGGAAACAUGUGCUAACCCGUUAUUGAUGGAUGGUCCCGCGGUGCAUUAGCUAGUUGGUGAGGAAACGGCUCACCAAGGCCACGAUGCAUAGCCGACCGGGGAGGGUGAUCGGACACACUGGGACUGAGACACGGCCCAGACUCCGACGGGAGGCAGCGGUAGGGAAUCUUCGGCAAUGGACGAAAGUCUGACCGAGCAACGCCGCGUGAGUGAAGAAGGUUUUCGGAUCGUAAAACUCUGUUGUUGGAGAAGCGGUAUCUAACCAGAAAGCCACGGCUAACUACGUGCCAGCAGCCGCGGUAAUUC
rnacentral:rRNA from 1 species